rnacentral:misc_RNA from 1 species
GUGAAUCAUCAAAUUUUUGAACGCAAAUUGCACUCUCCUCGGAGAGUAUGCCUGUUUGAGGGUCAGCCUAAAAAAAAUCGACGUAGUCGCUUUUUCUCGGUGACAUUCGUCGGAAAUUGGGUCAUCUUAAACCUUUGGGUUUUUUAAGCUUCUUAAAAUUUGCUUUACUUUUCAAGUAACU